GAUGAACGCUAGCGGCAGGCUUAACACAUGCAAGUCGAGGGGCAGCGCGGGAUAGCAAUAUCCUGGCGGCGACCGGCGGAAGGGUGCGUAACGCGUGAGCGACAUGCCCGUUGCCCGGGGACAACCGGUGGAAACGCCGACUAAUCCCCGAUGGGAUACGAUGCUUCAUGGCAUUGUAUUGAAAGUUACGGCGGCGACGGAUUGGCUCGCGUCCGAUUAGCUGGUUGGCGGGGUAACGGCCCACCAAGGCUGCGAUCGGUAGGGGUUCUGAGAGGAAGGCCCCCCACAAGGGGACUGAGACACGGCCCAUACUCCUACGGGAGGCAGCAGUGAGGAAGAUUGGUCAAUGGGCGGAAGCCUGAACCAGCCAUGCCGCGUGCGGGAAGGAGGCCCUAUGGGCUGUGAACCGCUUUUGCCUGGGGGCAAUAAGGGCGUCGCGCACGUCCGAUGAGAGUACCAGGCGAAUAAGCAUCGGCUAACUCCGUG
rnacentral:rRNA from 1 species